UACGGGGGGGGCAAGCGUUGUUCGGAAUUACUGGGCGUAAAGGGCUCGUAGGCGGCCAACUAAGUCAUACGUGAAAUCCCUCGGCUUAACCGGGGAACUGCGUCUGAUACUGGAUGGCUUGAGAUUGGGAGAGGGAUGCGGAAUUCCAGGUGUAGCGGUGAAAUGCGUAGAUAUCGGGAAGAACACCCGUGGCGAAGGCGGUUCUCUGGGACGGUACUGACGCUGAGACGCGAAAGCGUGGGGAGCGAACAGG
rnacentral:rRNA from 1 species